rnacentral:rRNA from 1 species
UGCAAAACUUUUUUCGAACUAGACAUAGAUCAAGCAUCGAAUGUAUAUGCAAAUGGGAGCUUGAAUGUAAGACUUACUCGUCAAGUAAGGAUGAAAGUCAAUCUUAAU